UACGUAGGGGGCAAGCGUUAUCCGGAUUUACUGGGUGUAAAGGGAGCGCAGACGGCAGUGCAAGUCUGGAGUGAAAACCCGGGGCCCAACCCCGGGAGUGCAUUUGAAACUGUCUGGCUAGAGUGCAGGAGAGGUAAGUGGAAUUCCUAGUGUAGCGGUGAAAUGCAUAGAUAUUAGGAGGAACACCGGUGGCGAAGGCGGCCACCUGGACCGGUAUUGACGCUGAGGCGCGAAAGCGUGGGGAGCAAACAGG
rnacentral:rRNA from 1 species